CAUAAAAUACAAUUUGUUCAGGUAUUCUGCAACUGAUGGACAUUCCUUCAGUUUCCAGUUCUUUGCCACCAAAAAAAGAAUUGCUAUAAAUAUUUUUGUACAGAAAAUGGACCAGUAGCAGAGAGCACCUCCAGUUAGGAGCAGAGAAAGAUUUCAAGGACAAACAUGGACAAAUCUAGACAUAUGUAUCGUCAAAAAAGAGAAAGAAGCUUCAGUGAAUGAAUGUGAUUCUCCUUGGUUGAGAAAAAGCCAGCCAAGAACCUACAAAAGCAAGAAUUUUGGUGGUAAAAUGAUCCCACGUUCUGGGGACCUAUCCUGAAGAUGUUCUCAAAAUAACCAAGAGGCUAUCAACAUUGCUUCAUUCUUAUGGAGAGUAAUUUUGAAUAAGAAGGUCUCUGACAUCUCUUCCAGAUCUGAAGAUUAGUGAUUUGGGGGCAACCAUAUGACAACCAGAAAGGGGAAAUGUCUGAACAUAAUAAAAGAAAAUCAAUUGAAGGAACCAGAUUUCUUUGCCCUGAAGAAAAGGUGAAAGAGAUGGAAGAUGGAUGCAACCAGAGAAGCAUGGAAAUGUUAGGAGAAGCCAUGAGAAGUCCAGGAGCUGGAGUUCAUGUCAGUAUUUUUGGAAGUGAAGAGUGAAAUCCUGAAUAAUAUUCUUGACUUAUGUUCUUCACAUUGUGUUUUGUUGUUUUUUUUUUUUUCAGAAGAAAAUGUAUUACCUUUAUUGGACUUUGUGCACAAUGUGAAAUUUACAUUAUCUAAUUAAAUCUGAGCUAAUACAGGAAGAAUUU
rnacentral:lncRNA from 1 species